UGAUAGUCUAACUUUGGCUGUUCUUUUGUUGUCUACGUGUUUUCAUAGGAAAAUUAUAAAUUCUAUCUAGUGGUUGAGGUUGCGUUAAAAAUGUCGUAACUUGUUUUGAUAAAAAAUUGUGCCAGCAUUCGCGGUCAUACGAUGUUGAAUAUGGAAAGUAGUAUGGAGAAUUCUGUUUUUUAAAGUUAAGUUAUUUUAUUAGGUGAAAUUAUUUUAUGCUGUUUUAUUUGUGACUGAGUAGAAAUUCGGGAAAUUAUUAAAGCAACCAUGGAUUAGAGACCCUGUUAGUGAGAUGAUGAAAUUAGGUAGUUUUUUAUUUUUUUUUAAACCUUAGAUGUUUGGCGGUUUUUAAUACUUUUAGAGGAACUUGCGCAUUAAUUGAUAACCCGCAAUAUUUUUUACCUUUCUACAUCUUUGUAUAUCGUUGUUUUUUAAUAUUGAAUUUUAUUUUUAAUUCUCUAAUUUUUCGUUCUGAUCAUGGUGCAGGUUUAUAGGUAGGUCUGUUGUGAGUUACUAUGUUUAAAAAUGUAUUAUUUACUAAUUGUUUUUAGUGGAUUUAUUAGUCAGAUAAAUAUUGUAGCUGUUGUCUUAAAUGUCAAUUAGAAAAGUACAUAUCGCCCGUCAUUCUUUUGAUAGACAAGUCGUAACAAAGUAGAAAUUUUGGAAAAAGUUUCUUGUUAGAG
rnacentral:rRNA from 1 species